ensembl:misc_RNA
UUUGAUGAGAAAAAUAAGCCUCACUCUGGUUCAAUAGCAGAGAUAAAAGUAAAGAAUUCUCUGUCUUCUUGCCACCAGAUACAUAUUAUCUGCACUUAAAGAAUUGAAAAGCACUCAUGAAAGAAACAUUCCCUUGAAAAGAGAGG